rnacentral:rRNA from 1 species
GAUGAACGCUGGCGGCGUGCCUAAUACAUGCAAGUCGAACGCACAGCGAAAGGUGCUUGCACCUUUCAAGUGAGUGGCGAACGGGUGAGUAACACGUGGACAACCUGCCUCAAGGCUGGGGAUAACAUUUGGAAACAGAUGCUAAUACCGAAUGAAACUUAGUGUCGCAUGAUACGAAGUUAAAAGGCGCUUUGGCGUCACCUAGAGAUGGAUCCGCGGUGCAUUAGUUAGUUGGUGGGGUAAAGGCCUACCAAGACAAUGAUGCAUAGCCGAGUUGAGAGACUGAUCGGCCACAUUGGGACUGAGACACGGCCCAAACUCCUACGGGAGGCUGCAGUAGGGAAUCUUCCACAAUGGGCGAAAGCCUGAUGGAGCAACGCCGCGUGUGUGAUGAAGGCUUUCGGGUCGUAAAGCACUGUUGUAUGGGAAGAACAGCUAGAAUAGGGAAUGAUUUUAGUUUGACGGUACCAUACCAGAAAGGGACGGCUAAAUACGUGCCAGCAGCCGCGGUAAUACGUAUGUCCCGAGCGUUAUCCGGAUUUAUUGGGCGUAAAGCGAGCGCAGACGGUUGAUUAAGUCUGAUGUGAAAGCCCGGAGCUCAACUCCGGAAUGGCAUUGGAAACUGGUUAACUUGAGUGCAGUAGAGGUAAGUGGAACUCCAUGUGUAGCGGUGGAAUGCGUAGAUAUAUGGAAGAACACCAGUGGCGAAGGCGGCUUACUGGACUGUAACUGACGUUGAGGCUCGAAAGUGUGGGUAGCAAACAGGAUUAGAUACCCUGGUAGUCCACACCGUAAACGAUGAACACUAGGUGUUAGGAGGUUUCCGCCUCUUAGUGCCGAAGCUAACGCAUUAAGUGUUCCGCCUGGGGAGUACGACCGCAAGGUUGAAACUCAAAGGAAUUGACGGGGACCCGCACAAGCGGUGGAGCAUGUGGUUUAAUUCGAAGCAACGCGAAGAACCUUACCAGGUCUUGACAUCCUUUGAAGCUUUUAGAGAUAGAAGUGUUCUCUUCGGAGACAAAGUGACAGGUGGUGCAUGGUCGUCGUCAGCUCGUGUCGUGAGAUGUUGGGUUAAGUCCCGCAACGAGCGCAACCCUUAUUGUUAGUUGCCAGCAUUCAGAUGGGCACUCUAGCGAGACUGCCGGUGACAAACCGGAGGAAGGCGGGGACGACGUCAGAUCAUCAUGCCCCUUAUGACCUGGGCUACACACGUGCUACAAUGGCGUAUACAACGAGUUGCCAACCCGCGAGGGUGAGCUAAUCUCUUAAAGUACGUCUCAGUUCGGAUUGUAGUCUGCAACUCGACUACAUGAAGUCGGAAUCGCUAGUAAUCGCGGAUCAGCACGCCGCGGUGAAUACGUUCCCGGGUCUUGUACACACCGCCCGUCACACCAUGGGAGUUUGUAAUGCCCAAAGCCGGUGGCCUAACCUUUUAGGAAGGAGCCGUCUAAGGCAGGACAGAUGACUGGGGUGA